CAACAGGGAUUGCCUUAGUAACGGCGAGUGAAGCGGCAACAGCUCAAAUUUGAAAGCUGGCUCCUUUGGAGUCCGCGUUGUAAUUUGUAGAGGAUGAUUCGGCAAGGGCUCCCGCCUAAGUCUCCUGGAACGGAGCGUCAUAGAGGGUGAGAAUCCCGUAUGCGGUGGGCUGCCUAAGCCAUGUGAAUCUCCUUCGACGAGUCGAGUUGUUUGGGAAUGCAGCUCUAAAUGGGAGGUAAAUUUCUUCUAAAGCUAAAUACCGGCCAGAGACCGAUAGCGCACAAGUAGAGUGAUCGAAAGAUGAAAAGCACUUUGGAAAGAGAGUUAAAAAGUACGUGAAAUUGUUGAAAGGGAAGCGCUUGCAGCCAGACUUGUCCGCAGUUGCUCAGCCGGUCUCCUGACCGGUGUACUCUUCUGCGGCCAGGCCAGCAUCAGUUCGGGCGGUCGGAUAAAGACCUCGGGAAUGUAGCUCCUCUCGGGGAGUGUUAUAGCCCGGGGUGGAAUGCGGCCAGCCUGGACUGAGGAUCUCGCUUCGGCUAGGAUGCUGGCGUAAUGGCUGUAAGCGGCCCGUCUUGAAACACGGACCAAGGAGUCUAACAUCUAUGCGAGUGUUUGGGUGUCAAACCCAUGCGCGUAAUGAAAGUGAACGGAGGUGGGAACCCUCACGGGUGCACCAUCGACCGAUCCUGAUGUCUUCGGAUGGAUUUGAGUAAGAGCAUAGCUGUUGGGACCCGAAAGAUGGUGAACUAUGCCUGAAUAGGUUGAAGCCAGAGGAAACUCUGGUGGAGGCUCGCAGCGGUUCUGACGUGCAAAUCGAUCGUCAAAUUUGGGUAUAGGGGCGAAAGACUAAUCG
rnacentral:rRNA from 1 species